rnacentral:rRNA from 1 species
UCCGUAGGCGGGCUAAUAAGUCAGGGGUGAAAUCCCACAGCUUAACUGUGGAACUGCCUUUGAUACUGUUAGUCUUGAGUUAUAUGGAAGUAGAUAGAAUGUGUAGUGUAGCGGUGAAAUGCAUAGAUAUUACACAGAAUACCGAUUGCGAAGGCAGUCUACUACGUAUAUACUGACGCUAAUGGACGAAAGCGUGGGGAGCGAACAGGAUUAGAUCCCUGGUAGUCC